GUGCUCAACUGCUGGAGCAGCUUUGAAGAGGCCAGUGUCUCCGGAGGAGAACUCCCUUUGCCAGCCAGACAGGGGAGACCGAGAGCCUGUCUUCCCUUCUCCCAGCCCUCUUCCGCCCAGUGCACAGCCCAUCACAGACUCCCAAAUAUUGACUGCCUGGACGAUUAAACAUCUCUGGAAGUUAACCCCCUGCCCUGACCAUUGAGACCCGAAGAGCUGGACGACACUCCUGCAGCCUGUGGAUGGGGCAGAAGAGAGAGCAGCGUCAGCCCUAAGCACAGUUGAGUCGGCAAAGGCUGUGUUCUCUUUCACUACUGGUUUCCUCCUACCUCAAAAGUUUUGUGCCUUCAGUAUCCCCAGCUUAGUCACUUAGUUCCCCAUCUUUCCAAUUUUUCCACUUCCCCCGGAGACAGACAGCAAAGAGUAUUAGGCAAGGUGACAGGAGGACAGGCUGUGAACUGUGGCACUGAUACUACAUCGAGCACAAAGCGCUGGUUGCCUCCCCCUCUGAAUUUACUGGAAGCUUCAGUAGCUUAUAAAUCCCUGUGAGAGUUUCAUCCUGCUGCUUCAUCUUAGCACUGAAGUGGCCUUUUCUUUCUGGAAGGGGCUCUUAUGACUCAGCUUGGCUUAGGCCUGAGCAACACCUCCCUGAAGUCACCUCACGGGGCUGGGGAUGGCCUACUCCAUGCCCUCUCCCCUGCUCCCUCCUAAAAUACAACUGAAAGACCAUACCUAACAAGUGGACGGCUGUAUAAAGUAAUACCGAUAAUACAAGAGUACGAACUACUUACGUUUACAUAAAGAGCAAGCCAUCUAUGCCUAUUCUUAAAAAUCAUAACUUUGGUAUCAACUUUAUCUCAGCUAUUGCGGCCCUUGGACCCAUCACGGCCAGAGGUGAGGAGGUGCUGGGCUUGCUGGUGAAGCACGCUGGUUGCCUGGGCGCCAUCAUGGCUCUGCCACUUCUAGCCGGGGGUCUCUGGGCUAAUUAAUAUUACUUAAGCUCUCUGUGUCUGUUUUCUUAUCUGAAGUGGAGACAAUAAUAGCACCUGGGGCACAUAGUAACCAUGGCUAGAAUGUGCGCAUGUAACUGUUUUGCCCCAUAGCAUUCCCACUCACUUAGAGAAGUGUGAGUGACCGCCCCCCGCUAUGUUUUAACCCUACAAUAUUUUCUGUUUCUCACCCUAAACUUUUAGGCAAAAAGCUUGAGAGGUCUUCACAGUAGAAGUAUGUCCCUUACACCAGAGUGUGACUAGCUCAAGGCCCCCCACCCUGAUUCGAACACUGCAGUUCCAACAUGCCACCAAACCACGAAUAGGGCACAGUGAGACAGCCUCAAGCAGUGAAAUGCUACAAAAAGCUUACAUGGGUGACAGCAGAUAACAUGCAGCCUAAUCGAUGGAAUGAACACUGUUAAAGGAGGGAGGGAGAUAGCUUCUCAUCAAGAAAGGUCCCCCCCGCCGCCCACACACAAAAAAAGUAAGAUUAGCAACGCUCAUCUAACGGGGUGGGAGAAAGGCAGCUGGACUGAGGCCAUAGUGUCCUAUCCAGGAAGGCAGUCACGUCACACCACAUCAGGAGCCCCACCAAACUUCAGCAUCAACCAAAUUUCUGAUUACAAUUUAGCUUCCCAGGUAGACAUGUCUAUAGCUAAUCACAAACAUGCCCAUCUGGAUCCUCCUAACGGCUCUCCUUCUCUCAUAAAUCUGCCUUCUGGCCCUGUCUCACGUCUCGUAAGUUUGGUAAAUACACAGACAAGGAUCUAUUUGCUGGGCAGGACAGAGGUGAAAAGUAGCCCCUACAGGACGGUGCUUUGGCCAAGGCAACACCUUCACGCAGGCACGUAUUCCAUCACUGAGUCUCUGAGCACCUGGUGAUGCCGAGCACUGCGCUGGGCCCUGGGACGUGUGCGUCCCAGUCGCUGUCUGAAGGAGCUCAGACUGGAAGCCCACUGUCAGUCCUGCUCACUAAGCAACAUCUCUCCCAGACUUCAACCUUUAGCCUGGCCAAUUCCAGCCUCAGCCCCACAGACAGGAGGUAGCCAGGCCUGACCAUCCAGGCUGACCAGCACGGAAAGGCCCUGGCAGUUCUCUCCCAGGCUGUUUCAAGCCCCAUGAUAACUGGCCUGCUCCAAGUCACACUACCGGAACUGGCAAGGUGAGGCAGGAUUUGGAGUUGAGUCCCCUGGACUGCAGAGCCUGCCCCCUCCGCAUUCUGCAGCAGGCAGCCAGCUCUCAAGGACAAGCAGAUGCCUGGGGUAGGCCUUCCUUACCCGGCGGGACCACCUUCACCUCGGUGCUGCGGCUGACCGCCUGGCUUCCACGGUAGGCGCUGCAUGUGUAGGAGCCCUCGUCCCUGGCCUGCAGGUUGUGGAUCAGCAGUGUGCCAUCCGGGGACUGGUGGACACGGUGGCCAUCGGCCCGCACCGGCAGCCCAUUCCUAGGGGGGAGAGGACGCUGGGAGAGCUGUCCAGGCCCUCAUUUUCAGGCCCUGGGAAGCUGUGCCAGUCCUCCCGGGGCCAGGGGGAGGUGGUGAUCCAAGGCCACUCCAGAGCCGACGACUCCCUCUUUGCGGCCCCUCACCUUAAGGAAGGGAUGGGUCUGGUACCAAGAUGAUAGACCAGCAACGCCGAAGCAAAAUACCUCGGAAGUGAGGUGGACUCACACCAGCUGAUCUAAGUGACUGCAGAUCUGCCCCUUAUCCCCACAGGAGUCUCUCUCUCCCUCUUCGUCCACAGAGGUCCUCUAAGCAGCGGGAUGAAGGACACGAGCAUCCUGCCUCCAGCGAGUUGGGGCGGGGUGCAGGUGGUAGGGGAGCCUUCCCUAAGGAGGACAGCUGGCCGAGGCCUGACCCGAGGGUGAGGAGGAGCGGCUGGCUGACAGGAGGACACGGGGACUCGGGGGUUUGAAGGAAGGCCAUGGCCGCAGCGAGGAGAGUGGGCGUGGGAGGAAGUGCGCACGGCUCCGGUCAGGAGUUCGGACCGGAUCCUGGGGGUAAGCGAGGGGUGUGAGCUGAGCAGGACUGACAACGCCACGUGUGCUUGGAAAAAGGAUCACCAACCGCAGCGUGGGGCAGGGACAAGCCCGAGGGCAGAGGCCAGGUGAGUGGCUGCCGCAGGUGUGCACACAGGUUGACGAGACAGACAGUAAAGCAAAGGGACCUGGGUGAGGGUCAGAGGUGGGAGGUGGGGGAGAAGAAGAGAUCAAGGGUAGCAGGUUCCUAGCUUGGUUACUGGGCAGUGGUGGUGCCCCUCCACCGUGGGGAGAUCCAGGGCAGGAUGAGGAGUGAAUGGUGAGGUUAUUUUCCCCUAUUUCGCAUUUCGGGUGCUCUGAGACACCAGGAGCCAUCAGGUUUGAGGUCUGGACCCAGGUAGUGUCUCAGCACUGAUGGUCCUGGAAACUUCAUGUCUACAGGGCUACCCAAGGUGAAGUUAGAGAAAAGCCGGGGACCGAGGACCAAGGACAGACCUCAAGGUACACCAGCCUCUCAGAGAGAGGGAUGUGAUGAGCGGGCCAGGAAAACAGAAGCUGCAGCCAGAGAAGCAGGAAGGAGACUGCAGGUCAUGUGGGACUGAGUCUGUUCAAGGACUGAGGAACAGGGAGGUACUGGUGACCUCGGUCAGGGCAGUGUCCCUGGCAUGGGGGUGCGGGGGUGGAGGAGAGGCCCCGGGGCAAGGGCUGAGCUGCCAGCAGGGAGGUGAGCAGACCAAGAUAAUGUGAACAGCCGUGCAUGAAGGGGACGCGAUAUAGGACCCCACUGCAGGGAAACACUGGGUCAGAGGAGGGUGUGUUUAUGUUUGUUUGUUUUGAAGAGGGGUGUCCUGAGCAUGUUUGCUGCUGGGAAGAUCCAGGCCUGAUAGGAUAAUCACAGCCACAGCUGAUCAGGGCAGGGCCGGCUGAGGGCACCAGCUGAGAAGCCUGCAGAGGCUCCCACCACGUUCCCUGGCAUCAAGGCCACAGAGAGGCAGCCGACCUCCGUGCCCCUCACCGUUCCUGCCAGUGUGCAGGCCCAUUCCCAUCCUGGCAUCAUCGCUCCAAUACUCACCCUUGAGGCUUGACCAAGAACAUCCUUCCCUUCAUCCAUUCUCCCAGACAGGAGACAGCCUCACCCCACUGUGCACAGACGCACUUAGGGCAAACCUCUGGAGCCUGGGGGACACUGGGCCUUCUCCUGCCUGGGAGUUUUUGGGGGGCUCAGAUUACCCCCAGGAUCCCCAGAGCCUAGCCUAGUCCUGACAUACUGCAAGGAGGAAGUGGGCAAAAAACCGCUGAAUGAAUAAAAGACCAACAGAUUUGGGGUAAAAGACCACUGAAGUCCUCAAAGCUGUGUGCAGCCCAGGGUUUCUCAACGCCAGUGGAGAUUCUGUCACCCAGGAGACACUUGGCAACAUCUGGAGACUUUUUAUUGCCAUGACUUGGGAGGGAGUGCCACUGGCAUCUGGCAGGUAGAUGGCCUGGACGCUGCUAGACGUCCUCCAGUGCACCCCAACAGACGAACGUGUCAGCCCAAAAUCUCAAUAGUGCCGAGGUUGAGAAACCCGGGGUAGCCCGACCAACAGAAAAGAGCAGUCCCAGGGGGCUUCCGGGUGUCGGUAUGAGGGCGCUGUGGCCCCUUCCCUGACACCAGGCCGGGAGGCGGGAGUGGAAGAAUAAGGGGAGGGGGCAGUGGUGACCGCAGCAUCCCGCAGGAAGGUGCACCCCCUCUGUCUGGGCUGUACCACCUCAGGUACGACAGCCCGAGGGCCAGGCCUGCCUGGAGCAGAGUCUUACCUGGACCAUCUGAUGUUCACUCUUUCGCCCGCCACCGCACACAGCAGCCUGGCCGUGUCACCUUCUGGCACUGUCACCGUAGAGGGCAGCCCUGUGAUUGUCAGCUCCCCUGGGCCCAAGGAGGGGGCACUGUCAGCCACCACGCCCAUCCUGGCCCACCUGACCUCAGAGGCCACCGGCCACACUCACCCUCCCGCCCGGGACUGCCGUCUUACCCAGAACUCUGAGCUGGACCCAGCGCUGGUCUCGGUCCUGCCCGUUGACUGCAACACAGGUAUAGAAGCCUCCAUCUUCCACAGCCACGCGACUGAUGACCAGGGAGCCGUCGGACUGCAGCUGGUGUCUGGGGGCCAAGCACAAUCAGUUGUCCCCACCCCAAGGUGCCCGGCAGGGGGCAGGAGGAGCAGGAUCUUCCCUCCCCUGGUGAGAGGCUGAGCAGCCCCUGCUGUCACUGGGAUCUGACCAAGGGCCAGUAGGCCUCCGGCCCUCAGGCCCUCCAGCUGCUGGCACUCUCCUUAAAGAUGCCUGACUUUAGAGCCUGAAUAAACAAGUCAAGUUUUCUGAUACAAAAUAA